rnacentral:rRNA from 1 species
UACAGAGGUCUCAAGCGUUGUUCGGAUUCAUUGGGCGUAAAGGGUGCGUAGGCGGCGCGGUAAGUCGGGUGUGAAAUCUUGGAGCUUAACUCCGAAACUGCAUUCGAUACUGCCGUGCUUGAGGACUGGAGAGGAGACUGGAAUUUACGGUGUAGCGGUGAAAUGCGCAGAUAUCAGGAGGAACACCGAUGGCGAAGGCAGCUCGCUGGGGCGGUACUGACGCUGAGGCGCGAAAGCGUGGGGAGCAAACAGG